UGUCACUACUUAGUUAAAUAUGUACACAAUGAUGGAGGAAGGGCCGUUAAUUCUCUUUUCCUUCCAGUAAAAGAGGAAGCAGAAACGGCUGAGUUAAUUUUCU